rnacentral:rRNA from 1 species
GAUGAACGCUAGCGGGAGGCCUAACACAUGCAAGUCGAGCGGUAGAGUCUCUUCGGAGACUUGAGAGCGGAGCACGGGUGCGGAACACGUGUGCAACCUGCCUUUAUCUGGGGGAUAGCCUUUCGAAGGGAAGAUUAAUACCCCAUAAUAUACUGGAUGGCAUCAUCUGGUAUUGAAAACUCCGGUGGAUAGAGAUGGGCACGCGCAAGAUUAGAUAGUUGGUGAGGUAACGGCUCACCAAGUCAGCGAUCUUUAGGGGGCCUGAGAGGGUGAUCCCCCACACUGGUACUGAGACACAGACCACACUCCUACGCGAGGCAGCAGUGUGGAAUAUUAGACAAUGGGUGAGAGCCUGAUCCAGCCAUCCCACGUGAAGGACGACGGCCCUAUGGGUUGUAAACUUCUUUUGUAUAGAGAUAAACCUAGAUACGUGUAUCUAGCUGAAGGUACUAUACGAAUAAGCACCGGCUAACUCCGUG